rnacentral:rRNA from 1 species
AGGGCUUCCCCGAGCGGGGGCCGUCCGGUCGCACGCAGCGCCGUUGCACCCGACGCAUUUGUCUCUCGCCCUAAGGACGCCGCAGCCGGCUGGGUAGUGCNNNNNNGACGACCUGAGGGGCGGAAGAUGGCAGGUGGCCGCUGGCGUGCCCCGUGCGCGUCGGCGGUUGUUAGCCGUUCCGUCAGUGGUCCGUCACCCGGCCGAGGUGUCGCGAGGCCCUUCGGGGCCUCAUCGUCUCCUCCUCAGAGACGCGGGUCAGAGCGUCGCAGGUGGAAUCCGAAGUCCCGUUCGCACCCCGCCGGGGUGGUCGGGCGAGCGGAGGCCUCCGUUGGUGGCGCCGGACCCGUUGGGGGCUGGAGGCUUGCGGCGAGUAGGUCGGUCACCCACCCGACCCGUCUUGAAACACGGACCAAGGAGUCUAACAUGUGCGCGAGUCAAUGGGUCUUGAAUAGGCCCAGGGGCGCAAUGAAAGCAAAGGACGGCCUCAGCGCCGUCCGAGUUGGGAUCCCCGUCUUCGGGCGGGGCGCACCAACGACCCGUCCUAUUCGGCUCGCCGAUUGGGCGGAGUUUGAGCGUACACGUUGGGACCCGAAAGAUGGUGAACUAUGCCCGGACAGGACGAGGCCAGAGGAAACUCUGGUGGAGG